rnacentral:rRNA from 1 species
GACGAACGCUGGCGGCGUGCUUAACACAUGCCAGUCGAACGGAAAGGCCCUGCUUUUGUGGGGUGCUCGAGUGGCGAACGGGUGAGUAACACGUGAGUAACCUGCCCUUGACUUUGGGAUAACUUCAGGAAACUGGGGCUAAUACCGGAUAGGAGCUCCUACUGCAUGGUGGGGGUUGGAAAGUUUCGGCGGUUGGGGAUGGACUCGCGGCUUAUCAGCUUGUUGGUGGGGUAGUGGCUUACCAAGGCUUUGACGGGUAGCCGGCCUGAGAGGGUGACCGGCCACAUUGGGACUGAGAUACGGCCCAGACUCCUACGGGAGGCAGCAGUGGGGAAUAUUGCACAAUGGGCGGAAGCCUGAUGCAGCAACGCCGCGUGCGGGAUGACGGCCUUCGGGUUGUAAACCGCUUUCGCCUGUGACGAAGCGUGAGUGACGGUAAUGGGUAAAGAAGCACCGGCUAACUACGUG